rnacentral:rRNA from 1 species
GACGAACGCUGGCGGCGUGCUUAAUACAUGCAAGUCGAACGAACAGGUCAUGAUCUUGUGGCGUGCUCGUGUGCCGCGCGGGGGAGUAAAACGUGAGUAACACGCCCCUGUCUUUGGGAUAAAUCCAGGAGACUGCGGAUCAUACCGGAUAGGAGAUAUUGCAGCACGGUGGGGGUUGGAAAGAGUCGGCGGUUGGGGAUGGAAUCGCGGCUUCUGAGCUUGAUGGUGGGGUAGUGGCUUUCCAAGGCUUUGACGGGUAGCCGGCCUGAGAGGGUGACCGGGCUCAAUGGGACUGAGAGACGGACCAGUCGCCUACGUGAGGCAGCAGUGGAGAGUAUUGCACAAUGGGCGGAAGCCUGAGGCAGCAACGCCGCGUGCGUGAUGACGGCCUUCGGGUUAUAAACCGCUGUCGCCGGUGACAAGGCCGGAGUGACGGUAAUGGAUAAGAAAGCACCGGCUAACUACGUG